UCUAGGGCCAUACCAUCCUGAAUGCACCCAAUCUUGUCUGAUCUUGGAAGCUAAGCAGGGUAAGACCUGGUUAGUACUUGCAUAUGAGAAAUUGCAAAGUGUAUUUGUAAUGAAUUCUGAAUACCAGUAGAG
rnacentral:rRNA from 1 species